CCUCACUGCCCUCGGUCACGGUUCACAGGCCCCUUCGGAGAGGAAGGGAUUCCACAGAGACUCAGCCUUGCAGCAGCUGCCUGUGCCUACAGUGUGGUUUGAAGGGAGAGGUUCACCAUUUGUGAAGAUGGCGGCUGGGCCCAGUGCAUCUCUGGGGGCUCGGGCAGCCAGUGCUGCCAUGAGAACUAUCUCUGGAGGACACACAGGAGGCCUGGACUCUGAGGUAAGGGGCUGCCAAGCUCAGACCAGAGGAACCCCCACACUGCAGAGGCCACCUGACAAUGCUAAUGUCCACUUGAACAGCAGUGAGACAUCACGCACGCUAACACAUUGCACACUAACACACAUCACACACGAAAACACAUCACACAAGCACACAUCACGCACGCUAACACACAUCACACACUAACACACAUCACACACUAACACACAUCACACGUGCUAAAACACAUCACACAAGCACACAUCACACACACAAAAACACAUCACACAAGCACACAUCACACACGCUAACACACAUCACACACUAACACACAUCACACACUAACACACAUCACACGUGCUAAAACACGUCACACAAGCACACAUCACACACACUAACACAUCACACACACAAAAACACAUCACACAAGCACACAUCACACACGCUAACACACAUCACACACUAACACACAUCACACGUGCUAAAACACAUCACAAGCACACAUCACACACACUAACACAUCACACAAGCACACAUCACACACGCUAACACACAUCACACACUAACACACACAUCACACACUAACACACAUCACACGUGCUAAAACACAUCACACAAGCACACAUCACACACACUAACAAUCACACACACGAAAACACAUCACACAAGCACACAUCACACACGCUAACACACAUCACACAAACACACAUCACACAUGCUAACAGGUAACACAUUAACACAUCACACACUAACACAUCACACAUGCCAAAACACAUCACACAUACUAACACACCACACCAACACACACCACACCCACCAACACACACCACACCCACUAACACACAUCACACAUGCUAACACAUCACACACGCUAACACCACAGGCGGAUGCAGGAACAACAGGCUCCUGCGGCCCAGCCUGAGCCAGCAGCUGGGCAUCUCUGAGCCGGAGACCAGCUCCCACCGUGCCUUUCCCUGGCCCAGGCACCAGCAGCAGCCCUCAGAACCUGAGGCCCAGACCGGUGGGUGCAGCCUGGUCCCAGUGCUGCGGCACCCACAGCUGUGAGACAGACCUUCGGGGAGGGACCUCCAGCCGGCCCACGCGCCUCACACUGGACAGAGGGGAGUGUCCCUGGACACAGACCCCCGGCUCUGAACUGGACACAGGGAACAUCUCCGGACACAGACCCCCGGCUCCAAACUGGACACAGGGAACAUCUCCGCACACACCCCCCGGCCCUGAACUGGACACAGGGAACAUCUCCGCACACAGACCCCCUGGCCCCGAACUGGACACAGGGAACAUCUCCAGACACAAACCCCCGGCUCUGAACUGGACACAGGGAACAUCUCCGCACAGACCCCCUGGCCCUGAACUGGACACAGGGAACAUCCCUGGACACAGACCUCCUGGCUCUGGGCUGCAUGAUGAGGGACAAAGGCAGCCACCUCUGGUUCCUAAGGCGGAGGAGCCGCUGGCGUUCCCAGCACUGCCGGAGCUGGGGUGGGCUGCAGGGGCAAGGACCGCCCCGCCUGACCCCGCUGGAGAAGGCAGGCCGCACGGACCACAGAAGCGGCAGCAUCGCGCUGGCCGUUUUCAGGCUGAAGGCAGGAGGGCAUCCCAGGGAUUUGCUUUUUGAAGCCGAGUUGUGUUGAUUUGAAGCCACUUUCUCUUCCACGCUGUUUGUAUCCACAGAACAGGCCGUCAGCCCAGAGGUGUCACCACGCACCGCCUGCCCCAGGCCCUGCCCCGUGCCGCACCCAGUGCUAUGAGGAGUGCUAAGUAUUGCCUCCUGAAGACAGGACUCUCGGGCUGCUCUCAGGAGGGAGUGUGUGCGGGGCUCGGGCGGUGGCAGCCGCUGAGCAGGGACUUCCCGGCCUUCCCUGCAUUGGGGAGGCUGCAUGGGCGUGUCUGGCCAACGGAACCUGACUUCCCGAGGUCCAUUAUCUCAGGUCCAGCCCCCAGGAGCCCUCCUAGCACCCCACCUCCUUCUCUUUCCUCCUCUGCUGACCUGGAGCAGAGGGGCCGGGGAGGAGCCCCAGGUGCCGGGGACAGGAGCCCUGUGCAGACCAAAAUAUUUUAAAGUUUUCUACUUCCUGCCCUGGGUCUGGUUCUGGGCCACUCCCGUGUGGGAGAGUCACGCCCUUGGUGGCCUGAGGGCGUCACUCACAUUCAAGUGUGGGUAACUGGAAGGCUGGCUGGCGCCCUGAGAGAGGGUGGGGCCUGGCUGUCUCAUGACCUCUGCAGGGACAGGGCCAAAGGGUUUUCUCCUGACACGUCAGUUUCUCUGGAGAAGAAUCUGGCCCCUUCCUGCCUAGGAAAGAUGGUGCUGCCUCUGUGUCAGCAUGGGCCUCUCCUGGCCCUCCCCACGGCUGCUGUCUCAGAAACCACAGCCCCCAGGACCAUUUUUCUCAGGUUAAACCUCCUUCCAAGGCGGGAGUGGGCAUUCACAGACAUGCUCUCCUGACUCUGAAGUUGGGGAAAGAGCCGUUCUCCUUCAGGCUUAUUCUGUUCAUGGUAAUCACAGCCACAUUGAGCCCCAGACAUUAUCAUGCUUCUCUGCUUCUUCCCAAAGUGCGCUGAGGCUGCGGCUCGCAGUGGCGUGAGGGUCGUACCCAUCUGCAGGGGCCUGGUGCAGCCCAUACCUGAUGUUUGCGUCCAGGCAGGCCGUUUGUGCUGGCGUGAGAUGGACUCCAGCGAGGCUGUUGUGCUGGGCUUGGGAGUGUGACCUCGGUUGGAAUUGCAGAGUCAGUCUGAGAGAAUCUGUGCCUGGAGUCCAGGAGAGUGCAGGGGGAUGCUUUGUCCACCCUGUGGCUCAGCCUGGCCCUGUGGGUCAGGAGAUGUUCCCAGCUGCCGUGCAGUGAGCUAGGGGCCCCUCGAGUACACUCUGGGCAAUGUCCGGGUGAGUAGCCCUUCCCCGCCCAGCUCCCGGGCAGCUGCUGAAUCUCUUCCCAGGGCUCAGGCUGCUGUGUCCAGACCAGGACCCGGGUUUGGAGCAGAGCAAGCACUUUCGCACUGGAUCUUCCAGAAUUGCGGGGCCCGGCCUGACACUCAGCCUGUGGCUCUGUGAUGUGAGCCGCCACCCCCUCACCAGAUCGGGCUCUGCAGCAGUAGGCUCCUCUGAGACCCUCUCUCACAGGCCCGGGGGGCCCGGCCCUCUUUCCCUCCGCAUCACCGAGGGAGGUGUGAGAGAGACGCUCCUGGGGGCCCGGCCCUCCUUCCCUCCCCGUCACCGAGGGAGGUGUGAGAGAGACGCUCCCAGAUGGUGGCCCAGUGCCGGUCCUCCUGGUCUCGUCCAAACACCUCGCACACCACAGCUGCCCUGACGCUCGGAGCACGGCUGGCGGGACCCUCCAAACAUGGUCCCGAGGCAGGGUCUUACCCAUCCACCACUCCUGGGAUGUGAGAGAAAGGGGAGGCCGGUCUAACCCAAUAUGUAGAUUAAAGGAAAACAUUCUAGGCAAGGACAGAGCACUUAGGAGGCUGGGAAACUUUCAGGAGAGAAAGAUGAAGCUACGUUCAUCAGUGUUGUAAAUGUGAAUGCUCUUCCUUCAUUUUAAGCCUACUGGGUUGUUUUUUUCCACUUUUUUCUUUUGAUGACAAGCAUUCAGUUGCCGUCUCUCUCAAGUCCUAAGUGUGGGAAACAUAACUAAGGCCGUCCCGUGAUUACGGACAAUUCUUCAGCUUACUGACAAUCUGCCCCUCUGUUUCCAGCCCCUCUUUCCAGGGAGGUGCCAGCUGUGCCUAGGCUGUGGGGCUCCCUUUCCUGGGACCCUUGGCCUCUGGGUCAGGUUUGCCCAGAACCCCCGGACUUCCUGCCUCUGCCCAAUAGAGGCCGCGGGGGUGGGGCUGUGUUUGGGAAGGUGCCCGGCCCUCUGCCUUGUUCCCAGACUGACUCUGACGUCACCUGGGCCUGGUGGGCAUCUCCAGGCUGCCGCCCGGCCGAUCUGGGUCCAGGCCUCUGUGCCGACUCACUUGUCCCACACCCUGGCUCUCAAAGGCCACCCAGGCCCUGGGAGGCCAGCUGUGCCCUGGUUCCUUGCCUCAAAGCCUGGCCUGGGUGUCCCCUCCAGGACAGCUUCCUCCCCAGGGACUGGCUGUCACCACUGCCGGCAGGUGAGAUUCCUCUCCCUCUGCCAUGUGCCUGGCUGGGGGCUGGGAGGGGAACAGGGACCUGGCAGGCAGGAAUGUCCCAUGUGACCGAGCGCCCUGGGCCAACUGGGACAUAAAACCUCGGCCAGCCCCUCCCAAGAGUGGAGGCCCAGGAGCCAUUCAGUUGGCCCUGGGUGAAGGUAAACUGAGGCCCGUGUGCUGGGAAGCCCCAGCCAUCUCAGAUCGGGUUCCGACUGUCACCCCUGUAUGAUGUGAAGGUACUGUGAAUCCUGGGGAGCUCAUUUCCUUUCCCCCAAAUGUCACCUGCUCCCACCCUGAGCCCCCUGUGCCCCCACGGCAGGCGUGGCUCCUCACCCCCAGGGAGACGCCAAAUCCUCCUGUGAGGUGUGCUGAGCCACAUUGAGUGUCCCAGGGUCCCAGAGCCUUCUGGACAGCCAGGCAGGCGCGGCUGCUCACUGGGCUGUGGAAUGAGCCGGGGCCCUGGCUGCGCUCUCCCUCGGGCCCUCCUCACGGCGCAGGACGACGUCCACCUGAGACCGCAGAGUACGUGGUCGUCAGAAGCUAAACCCUUGCCUGGCCCAGGGAAGGCCUGAUGGACUCUUCGUCCUGUGGGGACCACGUGUCCACGGGAGGUCACUUGUCCACAGGAGGUCACUUGUCCACGGGAGGUGGCCUUGUGUGAGUGGAACUGUGUCCCUGGUUCCCGUCUCUCGCUCUUGGGUGUGGCCUUCCUGGCAGACAGGACCUUUCCGAAGGCAAGUGGGUUAAAGUUUAGUCAUGGGGUGAGCUCUGGUCCAGCAUGACUGAGGUCCUGAAGGAAAGGGACAUGUGGACACAGACAUGCACUGAGAGGAACGCUGUGGGGACGUGAGGACCCUUCCCAGCCCUGCGGGCACCUUGAUCUCAGGCUUGCAGCCUCUGGGGCUGUGAGAGGACAAGGCCUGUGGCCUACGCUGCUGUGCAGACUCCCAUCUGGAUAGCCAGACCAUCUCCUCCAGGGUCCGGAGGAAGCCCCGAGCCACACCAGACCCCCAGAUGCUUCUGCGGCAGAGGGAAGUCCCUAAGAAGCUUGUCACCCGGUGAAGGCCUGGUCCAUCCUUGGCCACGAGCCAGAGGCUCUGCCCAGGACCCUCUUUCUGGUCCCAGCUGGCACGGAGGAGGAGAGCAACCACAGCUGACACUCCCACAAAACCCUGUGUCUCCAGGCGCUGGAUCACUCAGGAGACCAUCCCCUGUCAGGCGCUGGAUCAGUCAGGAGACCGUCCCCUGUCAGGCGCUGGAGCUGCCAGUGUGGGCUGAGCUGGCGCGUCGAGGUGUGGGAAGCAGCCCAGGCUGUGGUUUCCAGGACACACCUCACGCUCGCACUGGCACGGCUGGAGAACUCCCACACCUGACCUGCAUGCACCAGUGCUCAAGCCAUCCCUUCAGAGACACGCUUGCCUGGACCCGCGGGAAAGGCUCACUGUGAUGAUGCAGCCUCGUCUGGGGCUAGAGGCUCCCUGGGACCAACAGCCAGUAGGGACACAGCGUGUCCUGAGCCACGGGGCCACACAGCGUGUCCUGAGCCACGGGGCCACACAGCGUGUCCUGAGCCACGGGGCCACACAGCGUGUCCUGAGCCACGGGGCCACACAGUGUGUCCUGAGCCACAGAGCCACAGUCUGUCCUGAGCCACAGAGCUACAGGACCUUGGGUGACAUCUGACUCCCCCCGUCCCCAGCAUUUUCUACAAUGUUGCAAUGAGCAUCGCUUCCCACCUGAGACAAGAAAUUGCUCCUGAGGAAAACAGUAGCAGGCUGCCACUUUACAUGCAAACCAAGCAAUGCACACAGAGGGUUUUGUUUAGUUCUGGAGGAUGCAUCAUGGGAUGCAGCAUCCUGGGCUGACAGGACCUAGGGAGGGCCCACGGCUGGGGGUGCUUCCCAGGACUUCAGCCCUCCAGCUGGGUGCUACUUCGGCUCCCAACUGCCCACGUCUGGAGUCCACGCCCAUGCUUCCUCUUUCAUGCGCGUCCGUGUGAAGAGACCACCAAACAGGCUUUGUGUGAGCAACAUGGCUGUUUAUUUCACCUGGGUGCAGGUGGGCUGAGUCCGAAAAGAGUCAGCAAAGGGAGCUAGGGGUGGGGCCGUUUUAUAGGAUUUGGGAAGGUAAUGGAAAAUUACAGUCAAAGGGGGUUGUUCUCUGGUGGGCAGGGGUGGAUCUCACAAAGUACAUUCUCAAGGGUGGGGAGAAUUACAAAGAACCUUCUUAAGGGUGGGGGAGACUACAAAGUACAUUGAUCAGUUAGGGUGGGGCAGGAACAAAUCACAAUGGUGGAAUGUCACCAGUUAAGGCUGUUUUUACUUCUUUUGUGGAUCUUCAGUUACUUCAGGCCAUCUGGAUGUAUACGUGCAAGUCACAGGGGAUGCGAUGGCCUGGCCUGGGCUCAGAGGCCUGACAUCCUCCCCCUGCCCAGUGGCCUCUGCCCAGAGAAGCUAACCAGCUAAGCAGUCACCAUGCACACUGCAUUUAUUUUUUAAAUAAAUGUUUAAUCUUAGGAUAGCUUUAAAUUUACAGAAACCCUGGAAAGAUGGUGCAGAGACUUCCCAUGUGCCCCGCCUCAUGGAGGGGCUCUUUCGGUUGACAUAACUGUGGGUGUUUUGUCUUGAUUUCUUUGUUCAUCUGAGCACUUCCUUGCUUUCUGGCACUACAAGAUGCCCCAGUCACACCUUGUGUGUUUUUUGCCCCAGUCAUAGGAUCGGGAGCCCUGGCUGCUUUUACUGGAGAAGGGUGUUUGUAAGCCGAGGUCUGGGUGGUAGGGUGCUCACCCCUCCUGGGGUGUCACUGAUUGCAGACCCCCUCUGCCAACAGAGCAAGUGAGUGUAUGUGCAUGUACCAACUGCACUCACACCUCAAACGUAUGUGCGUGUACUAACCGCACGCACACCUCAAACGUCUGUGCGUGCACUAACCGCACGCACACCUCAAACGUCUGUGCGUGUACUAACCGCACUCACACCUCAAACGUAUGUGCGUGUACUAACCGCACUCACACCUUAAAUGUUUCCAUGUGACCGUUCGUGAGCAGGCUAGAGCAGCUCCAUCUCAGAUGCUAGUCCAACAUGUUGGCUUCUGAUUAACCCCAGCUCCAGGGAUGUGUAAACCAAAAAUGAAGUUCUAAGUCCCUCCAACCAUUUUAAUGGGCCCCUCCUCUCAGCCAAGGGCAUUCCAAAGUAAACCUAAAAAACCAGUUCAGGCCAUGUUGGGAUGGGGUGGGUUGGACGUACUCAUGACACCCUCCCCCUUUUGGAAUUCAGGCACAGGUGAUCAACAUUAAUGUUAAACAGAGACCUGAAGAAUUUGUAGCAGUAAAACACCAAAUUCCAGCCUGACUGUAGUUUAGCAUCACAUGACAGAGAUCAGGCCCUGAAAGAAAUCAAAGUAUUUUACCCUAAAAUCUGUUUCUUUGACAUAUUUUGCAAUGGCCCUGCAAAGCUGUCCCUCAUGGGGAAAACCUGCAUACUGUAGAGAAUCCUGUUCCCUUUCCAAGUCUUUUCCCUGAUCCAGGAGAGAAUUAACUAAGAGUCUGGCACAUUUUUAAGUCUGAUAAGAAACAUUUAUAACCUAUUGUCUCUGAAGCCAGCUACCUGGAGGCUUCAUCAGCAUAAUAAGAACCUUGGUCUCCACAGCCCCUUAUCCUAAUCCAGACACUCCCUUCUAUGGAUUCCAGGUCUUUAGAUAAACUCUUUCAACCAACUGCCAGUCAGAAAAUCUUUGAAUCCACCGAUGAGUUGGAAGCCCCACCCCUUCCAGUUGUCCUGCCUUCCCAGACCUAACCAACUGAUUGAUGCCUUAUGUCACCCUAAAAUGCCUAAAACCACGCUAUAGUCUGACCACCUUGCAUACAUAUUCUCAGGAUCUGUUGGGGCUGUGUCAUGGGCCAUUGGUCACUCAUAUUUGGCUCAGAAUGAAUCGCUUCAAAUAUUUUACAGAAUUUGACUCUUUUCAUUGGCAAAUUCCUCUAAGAUUUCUACUUUAUCUACUGUUUCCAUAAAUCCUGCCCUCAGGUCAAAACAACCUCAAUCACAAUGCUGCCCUCAGGCAGAUUCACAGAGCGGCCUUGCCUUUCCCUGAAGGGUUGACUUCAAUUUUCCUGGAAGUCCCUUCCCUGUGGGGUAGAAGUCCCGGGUCUGCGGGGUGGUGGCUGGGGAUCCACCAUCUCAUCAUCCUGGGUCUGCGGGGUGGUGGCUGGGGAUCCACCAUCUCAUCUGGUAGCUGCCCAGGACAUUUGUUCUGUUUUUUGAGAUGGAGUCUCACUCUAUUGCCAGGCUGGAGUGCAAUGGCGCGAGCUAGGCUCUCUGCAACCUCCGUCUCCCAGGUUCAAGCAAUUCUCUUGUCUCAGCCUCCCGAGUAGCUGGGACUACAGGUACAUGCCACCAUGCCCAGCUAAUUUUUGUAUUUUUAGUAGAGAUGGCAUUUCACCAUGUUGGCCAGGAUGGUCCCGAUCUGUUGACCUCGUGAUCCACCCGCCUCAGCCUGCCAAAGUGCUGGGGUUACAGGCGUGAGCCACCACGCCCGGCCUAAAUGUUUCUUUCUAAGAAACUGGAUUUGUUAGCCUCUUUCUUUGGCCUCUCAGCUUCCUCAGCCCCAGGGGUAGCUUUGCAUAGACCAGCUCACCAUGGAAGAGUUUGUAUCUACAUGAAACUAAAUUUGCACGCAUGCUGAGGCUCCAGCUCUAACCCAGCACCACAUGCAAUUCCAGCCCCUCCUUCCUCAUCUGUCACCUCCCACUGCAUGGUGAGGAACCCAGCUCCCACCAUCCACCAUCCGUGCACUUAAUUGUUCGAUUCCAGUGUGCAUGCACAGCAGCAUCAAAACCCAAUGUAAGAGUCUCCGGAAUAUCUUAUAGUUGAAAUCACAGAGCCUGUAAGUUCAGACUGGCUUCUUUCACUUAGCAAGAUGCAUCUAAGAUUCACCCCAUCUCUGCAUGGCUUAAUAACUUACUGCUUGACCUCGGUCCGACCACGGCCUGAGAAAUGACCAGCACCUUCCUCUAACAGCCUCCGUCAAACAGCCCUUUCAGCAGAGAGCAAACCAUCACUUUGCAAGUCACCAGGAGAGAGUGUCCAGGCAUUGGGACUGAGCAGGACACUCUCUCUGCUGGAGCACCCUAGAUUCUGGCUUCGGGAUGACGGAGACUCAGGAGGUUUUACUCCCCCUCCCACCUGUUAUCUGCAGAGAGCACCCUGCCCUGAACUCACCCCACCAGCUGGGGCAAGUGGUGUGAACCCCGCGAGGACGUCCCACGGCCUGUGUGACCCGGCACCCAGCAGGACGCAGGCAGCCCAGCCACUGUCACACAGUCACGGGAAAGGCCAGGGGACCUGGGGACUGUGGCCCAGAGCUGAUAGCAGGAACCACCUCCGUUAGGCAGAAAUGAUGCACGAAGCCGCAGGUGCACUCAUGGAACCAGGGAAAGUGUUCCAGUCUAAGUUUAUCUGGGGGAAGUGGAGGUUAUAAAACAGGAAAUGUGUAUAAUGAAGCACUCAGAUUUUAAACUGAUGGCUUUGCACACCUUUUUAUUAGCUAACGGGCAUAAAUGAUGCCUCAUAUCUUUCCUUGUAUUAAUUUGUGGCAUGAUGUAAGUGGCUUUGGCAUCUGAGGGAGAAUCUGAACUCCUCUGUGUUCUGAUACAUGCUGUUCCCUGAGUCGACUCCCGGCUGCAGCCCUGCAGGGCAGUGCGGGGGUAUUGUCUCUUCAAGCACAUGGGGGUCCUGGGGAGGGGAGAGCAGCCGCCGUGUGCAGCCGUGUCUGGAAGGGUCUGGGGUGCCAGGGUCUGUCCAGCCACUGGUCAGCAGGCUUUACCAGAGGCUACUCAGACCACCCUAAAAUCAGGAGAGGACAGCCAGGCGCAGUGGCUCAUGCCUGUAAUCCCAGCACUCUGGGAGGCCGAGGUGGGUGGAUCAUGAGGUCAGGAGUUUGAGACUGGCCUGGCCAAUAUGGUGAAACCCCGUCUCUACUAAAAAUACAAAAAUUAGUCGGGCGUGGUGGCGCAUGCCUGUAGCCCCAGCUACUUGGGAGGCUGAGGCAGAAGAAUGGCUUGAACCUGGGAGGUAGAUGUUGCAGUGAGCCGAGAUCGUGCCACUGCACUUCACCCUGGGUGACAGAGCGAGACUCUGUCUCAAAAAAAAAAAAAAAAUCUGGAGAGGACAUCAGGGCUGAAGAAAGGGCUCACUGGCCCCUGAGGCCUGCUGGGGCCUGACUCAGGCCUGAAGCCGUGCUUCCUGCCCUGCGUGGAGCAGAGGUUGUGUGGACCAGCACUCCACAGCCCAGGGUGCCGAGUUCCCCAGGGAGAAUGCACAGCUCCUAGGUGCUGACAUUUGUCAGUGAAGGGCUUGAAAUAGGCUGUUCUUGCAGACUGACUUUAAGUUAAAGACACUUGAAACACAGCAGGUGCAACCAGGUCACUUUGACCUUUGUGCUGUUUCUUAAAAGCAGAAGAUGAGAUUCCCAAGUGGAAAACACCAGUCCUAUACUAGAAGGAAAGGCAACGUCUUUAUCUUCCAGGACAAGAAGUUCAAGAAUACAGUAUUCUCUUCAAGGACAGAAUACCCUUGAGACCUUGUUAGAAUAACUCAUCUUUCCAGCUUCCUGUUUCAUUCCAUUGUAUGUUGCUAUAACACGACACCACAGACUGGUUAACUUACAAUGAACAGAAAUGUAUUUGGCUACUGUUUCUAGAGACUGGGGAAGCCCCAGGGCGUGGUGCUGGCCUCCAGCAAGGGCCUUCGUGCUGUGGCAGCCCAUCGGGGAGGGCAGAAGGACUACAGAAGGCAACAACAAGGGGGCAGGAGGGGAAACUCACGUUCCUAACAAGCAUAUUCACAAUAAUGAACCCACUUUGACACUAAUCUGCUCACGAGGACAGGUCUCGAGACACGAGGGCCUCACUGGGAGGCUCAGGGGAUGGAGGUGGAGAAACAGGAG
rnacentral:lncRNA from 1 species